AUGAGCAAGAGGCGAGCCGUCUUGUUGUUACGGGAAAGAUUCCGGUCCUGUUUCCUGGCGCACCGCGGCGACCGGCCGACGAGCAUCCACCGCCUCCAAGCCGCCUCUCCUCACUGCAGCAGCGUAGCGACUUCUUCCUCCAGCUGCAGAGCCUCUCCGCAUCAGGAGUUCCUCGCCAUGGAGGUACUCCGCUCCAUCUUCUCCUGUUUCUCCUCGCCCCGCUCCCAUGGACUGUGGUCGAGCGGAGCUAGCGACAAGAACAAGGCCAUGGUUGAGCAACUGCAGAGAUAUGGGGUAAUCAAGUCGACCAAAGUUGCGGAGGUCAUGGAGACCAUCGAUAGGGGGCUGUUUGUGCCUCCGGGUGGUUCUCCCUAUUUUGAUAGCCCAAUGGCAAUUGGCUACAACGCAACCAUAUCUGCGCCUCACAUGCAUGCUGCUUGCCUGGAGCUCCUGGAGGAUCAUCUGCAGCCUGGUAUGCGGGCUCUGGAUGUUGGAUCAGGCACUGGGUACCUAACAGCUUGCUUUGCACUUAUGGUUGGACCGGGGGGACGAGCAGUUGGUGUUGAACACAUACCAGAGUUGGUUGCUUCUUCUACCGAAAACAUCAAGAAAAGUGCAGCAGCCCCACAGCUGAAUGAUGGAUCCCUCAGUAUUCAUAUUGCUGAUGGUAGGGAAGGCUGGCCCGAGCUUGCACCAUAUGACUGCAUCCAUGUCGGAGCUGCAGCACCGCAGAUUCCAGAGGCGUUAAUCGAGCAGCUGAAGCCUGGUGGCAGAAUGGUGAUCCCGGUUGGGACCAUCUUCCAGGAGCUGAAGGUGGUUGACAAGAAUCUAGACGACGGUGUCAGCAUAAGAGACGAGACGUCUGUGCGCUAUGUGCCUCUCACCAGCAAGGAUGCCCAGUUGCACUCAAAUUGA
rnacentral:rRNA from 1 species